rnacentral:rRNA from 1 species
GCUUACGGCCAUACACCCUGAACGCGCCCGAUCUCGUCUGAUCUCGGAGCCAAGCAGGGUCGGGCUGGUCAGUACUUGGACGGGAGACCGCUGGGAAUACCAGGUGCUGUAAGCU